AUUGAACGCUGGCGGCAUGCUUUACACAUGCCAGUCGAACGGCAGCGCGGGGCAACCUGGCGGCGAGUGGCGAACGGGUGAGUAAUAUAUCGGAACGUACCCAGAAGUGGGGGAUAACGUAGCGAAAGUUACGCUAAUACCGCAUACGAUCUACGGAUGAAAGUAGGGGACCGCAAGGCCUUAUGCUUUUGGAGCGGCCGAUAUCUGAUUAGCUAGUUGGUGAGGUAAAGGCUCACCAAGGCGACGAUCAGUAGCUGGUCUGAGAGGACGACCAGCCACACUGGAACUGAGACACGGUCCAGACUCCUACGGGAGGCAGCAGUGGGGAAUUUUGGACAAUGGGCGCAAGCCUGAUCCAGCAAUGCCGCGUGAGUGAAGAAGGCCUUCGGGUUGUAAAGCUCUUUUGUCAGGGAAGAAACGGUAGAGGCUAAUAUCCUUUGCUAAUGACGGUACCUGAAGAAUAAGCACCGGCUAACUACGU
rnacentral:rRNA from 1 species